UAGAUGGUUAUGAGCCACUAUGGUUGCUGGGAAUUGAACUCAGGACCUUUCAAAGAGCAGACAAUGCUCUUACCCUCUCUUACCCUCUGAGGCAUCUCUCCAAUCCCUAAUCUUUAUUAUUAUUAUUAUUAUUAUUAUUAUUAUUAUUAUUACUAUUACUAUUCCUUUCGAAACAGGGUUUCGUAGUCUUGGCCAUCCUGGAACUCCUUAUGUAAAUAGAGAUCCACCUGCCUCUUUCUCUGGAGUGCUGGGACAAACAGCGUGUGCCACCAUGCCUGACUGGAAAUCUUUAUGGAUGUAUUUUUUGUUAGGAAAAUAAGCAGGUACUUUGUGGUGUUAGAAAUACGUAUUCUAGGCAUGGUGGCUUAGCACUUUAGUCCCAGCACUCAGGAGGCAGAGGCAGGCAGAUCUCUGUGAGUUCAAAGCCAGCCUGGUCUACAGAGUGAGACCCUAUCUCAAAAGGAAAAAUACACUUACAUGAAUAAAACACAAAGAUAAAAACAAACUUGGACCAAGAGCAUGGCUCAGUAGGUAACGGCGCCUGCUGCCAGGGCUCGUGACCUUUGCUCUGUGUCUGAGACUCAUACGGUGGAAGCAGGAGAGAACUAGUUUCUUUCUUUCUUUCCUUCUUUCUUUCUUUUUUAAAAUUCAUUUAUUAUAUAUAAGUACACUGCAGCUGUCUUCAGACACACCAGAAGAGGACAUCAGAUCCAUUACAGAUGGUUGUGAGCCACCAUGUGUUUGCUGGGAAUUGAACUCAGGACCUCUGGAAGAGCAGUCAGUGCUCUAACCGCUGAGCCAUCUCUCCGGCCCGAGAACUGGUUUCUUCAGGUUGGCCUACAGUCUCCACCUGUUCAUCAUGGCACAUGCACACAAAAUAAACAAAAAGUUUUUAAAAAGUCUACAAAACUGAUAAGUUGACAACAAGGCUGUGAAGCAAAAGGGCAGAACCAGCAGAGGCCGGGCGGCUGCCCACAGAGGAGGACACCACACUCAAAGAGCAAGCGAAGCAAGAACAGAGGGCGUUUUCCAGGCUCUGUCCGUCCAGUCUUCCGAGAGCGGGCAGAGACAGAACAGGGAACUCACAGGAGGCCACUUGCUUCUUCUUAGAGGAGAGCAGUGCAGUAUUUGUCUCCAGAGAACCACCAGCUCUAACUGACACCAAAUGCCUAAAAGUAGGUAUGGUGAUGUCUGAUUUGUAGAUGUGAGAAGAAAAAUCCAGCAUUUAAAUGCUAGAAAAUGACAUCAGGUAAGUUGAAAGCUGAAUUGUCCUGUAGUUGAUUAUAUCGACUUUAUUUUAAUUCUUUGAAACAAGGCCUCGCUCUGUGAACCAGGCUGCCUAUGAACCAGCAGAGAUCUGCCUCACCAGGCCUCCCGGUGCUGGGGUUAAAGGUGUGUUCCACACAUGGCCUUAUUUUAAGUUUUUGAGACAGGGUCUCAGAUAGCCCAGGGUAACCUCCAACCUGUAGAGGGUGAUCUUGACUCCGGUCCUGAGCACUGGGACUGCAGGUUUGCAGCCUGGGUUAUGCAGUGCUGGGGAUCAAACCCAGGCCCUCAUGCAUGCUAGGCAAGCCUUCUAACAAACGAUAGCCGCAGCCAGACUUUAAAUAUGGUUCCAGUAAACAUGAGCAUUUCUGGUGUAGUCCCAACGAACAGAAACACAAUCUAUAAAUUUCAGACCAGUGGGGAAGUCAGAAGCAGUGUAAGAGCUGAAAGUCUACCAGGAAGAAGGAAAGGAGAACAGGAAACUUGGUCCUCGGCAAAAAGGUGAAGAGUAACCGGAAAGCGUACAUCGAAGGCCGGGUGUGGCGUUGCAUUCUUCUAAUUCCAGCAGAAGCAGGCUGUGAGGUGGGACAGUUUGAGACCAACUCAGUCUACAUAGUGAGUUCUAGGCCGUCCAAGGCUACAUAGUGAGACCCUGUCUCAAAAACAAAUAAAAACGCACAAACUGAGGUACAAAUUCCAAUUUCUGUCAGUUAUUAUAACAAGUAGAACUUAACUGAUAUGUUAAAAAGAAAUUUUAAAAAUGAAGCCUUAGGGCAGGUGGGACAACCUUUAAUUCCAGCGCUGGGAGACAGAGGCAGCCAGGUGUCUGAGCUGCAGGCCAGCCUGGUCUUCAGAGCAAGUUCUAGGAUAUCCAGGGCUACACAGAGAAACCCCGACUCACAAACAAAGAGACAAGAAGAGGCCUUACAUGAAUGGACAGCUAUGGCGACAAUCACAAGUGAUUAGAGCAAUCAAAGCUGUUGGGAUGCUGUGAAAACCGGGCAUCAGGAAAACCGAUGUCACAAAGUAAGAGAGGCUUAGCACUGAAGCCUUAGCUGCUCUGCUUGGGACCAACCCCAAGAGAGCAGAGCCAGGAACCAUAAAGACGAGAACAGAAAUGAACGGAUGGGCAGUGGGCUGACGCUCAGUGAUAGAGUACUUGACUAGUGUGUUUAAGUCAUAGGUUUGGUUUGAAAUCCUGACAGAAGAAAACUGCAAAGGGCAGGAUUAACACACCUUCUUUGGAUUAAAAAGAAGAAGAGGAGAGGUAAGCAAGAGCAAGAACCUGAACGGGACUGCGUGCUGCAGAUCCUGAAGCAGGGCGAGCAAGCUUAGUGGCACCUGUGCCUACAGGUGUGAUGUAUGACAGGCAUCUUCCAGGAAGAUUAUACAUUGACAACAGUGACUUGUAAGGUACAGUCAACUGUGUACCUAUUACUGAACAUCAACGCUAGACGCCAAGUCGACGGCAUUUGCCAUCACCAUGCCUCCAAAAAAUAUUUUCUUCUAACCAGGAGUAAAGAGGCAGCGCCAUCAGCACUAACAGUUUAUGGUCUUGACUAAUGUUAUGAGGUAAGAGAAAAGCUAGAAGUUAGGAUUGGACAGAAAGAAAAAAAUCUAACGGAGACGCUCCAAUGAGCUAUGAAGUGUUCGCUGACGUCAUUGGGCAUGACCGAAUCACAGAGGAGACAGCCUCAGCCUGCAAUGAACAAGUUCUUGGGAGAAAAUCUUAAACGGAACACAAUCUUUCAGAGAAGAUUAGUAAAUGUGUUUGGUUGGCAUCAGGGAGACAGGCCCGCCAUCACAGCGCUAACCCAGCACGUAAGAGAAAUUACUCUGAAGGCCUGGGCUGUAGAUCAGUGUUUGUCCGCAGGCCUGAGACCCUGGGUUUGAUUCCCAGCACUUUUUGUUUGUUUGUUUAUUGAGACAGGUCUCACGUAGGCCAGGCUAUCCUUGAACUUGAUCUUUACCCAAUGCGAUUGGAGUUCCUGAUGGUUUUGUCUCUAACUCCUCAGAGCUAAGAUUACAGAGAUGUGCUACAGCACCCAGCUGGAUAAUUUUGAGACAAGACCUCAGGUCCCAGGCUGGUCUCAGAUUCAAACUUAUUUGUCACCAUCCUUGGCUGAGAUAAGAUAACUUACAGGCCAGUUCCUUCAUGUGGGGUUAGAGCUACGACAGCAUAGUCAGAGCUCCCAGCACACUCAGGGGCCUCAGCUAAGCAAGGCGCUUCUAUGAGACCCUCUGCAGUAACAGAUACUCAAACAUCCAAGGCUGCUUCUUCCGUACCUACUGGGUAGUUUUUGUUUUUGUUUUUGUUUUUGUUUUUUUUUAAAGAUUUAUUUAUUUAUUUAUUUAAUGUAUAGGCGUACACUGUAGCUGUCUUCAGACACACCAGAUCUCAUUACAGAUGGUUGUGAGCCACCAUGUGGUUGCUGGGAAUUGAACUCAGGACCUCUGGAAGAGCAGUCGGAGCUCUUUUUUUUUUUUUUUGGUUCUUUUUUUCGGAGUUGGGGAUCGAACCCAGGGCCUUGCGCUUCCUAGGCAAGCGCUCUACCACUGAGCUAAAUCCCCAACCCCCAGUUGGAGCUCUUAACCACUGAGCCAUCUCUCCAGCCCCUACUGGGUAGUUUUUCCCCCUUCUUUCCCUUUCUUUUUCUUUUUCUUUUUCUUUGAGACAGGGUCUCACUGGGUAGCUCUAGCUGGCUUGGAAUUUGCUAUGUAGACCAGGUUGGCCUGAAACCCAUGGAGACCCAUCUGCUUCUGUCUCCAAAGUGUGCCACCCUGUCCUGCACCCACAGCAGAUUUCUGAACUACCAAGUUUGAGCAGUGUUCGCCUCACCACGCCAUGGCCCACCAGCAUCCUCUGCCUCUGGAGAAGGCUCUUAGUGCUUUGAUCCCUGACUAUGGCAGAGGGCUCCAUAGGCUGUCUACUCUCCCAGAGACCUACUCGCUGGAAGCUUGGUCCCUAAUGUGGUAACGCCAAAGUGCUGGGCUUAAGAGGAGAGUCUUUAGAGGCAGUCGGAUGUGGGAGAACCAGCCAUGGAAGGGACUGGUCUGGUUCUCAUGGGACCCAUUAGCUUCUGCGAGAGCAGGUUACUGAGGCAGAGCAGGCUGCCCUGCAGUUUUGCCAUGUGAUUGUUUUCUUCUUGUUCUCACCACAAUGCUUCUGCUCAGCUUGGUAUUGCUAGAGGUCUUCACCAGAACAAGCACCAGGUCUUUGACUGCUCAGACGGGUGCAUGCCAUGAGUGAAUGCCCUAGUGAUGGGAGGUUGGGAGUGAGGAACAGGGGGCUUACAGCGGCAGGGUCAAUGGUCAAGAAGAAGAAAGUCCCUCUGCCGACUUCUAGGUCAUCCCUGUGACACAGGGACUGUGCUGACGAGAAGCUGACCCUGGGCACGAGUGGCUAGAGUUGUGUUUAAGCACUGCCCAGAAGUUUGCUGAAGUCAUGCAGGCCUCACGUUGUGAUGUCUGCUGUGGCCAUUGUUUACAGGCCAUCGCUGACAGCACCCUCAGUGUCUUCUGGAUUUCAGGCGGAAAGCCUGUUACUGGCUGCCCGCCAGUUCUUCAUUCACAGCCCCUUACUGGCAGCUGCGGAUAAGCUGGCUUCAGGUAGACAUCGUAAUGACCCAGGACCCCUCUUGACACUCACCUCAGCUGUCCCGUGGUGCUCCUCACUGCUGUCCUGCAAGCAUAUCUACAUCUGUACCGAGACAGCAGGGCUCUGUGCAAGCCCCCAGAGCAUGCUGUCAUACUACGUGGAAGGCACUGGCAGGGACCUUGGAGAUCGCAGCUUCCCUGGGUGGCCACAGGCACCUUCAAAACGUCCGUCCCAGCCAUGAGUCAUCUGUGUAUCGAAAGGUCAGCUCUGUUUUUCUGUGAGAGUGUCACCAGCUUUAGGAACCCCAGAAUUCAGAAAUGCAGCCCAAACAAACGAUGCUACACAGAGGACCUUGGGUGUGUGCACAGAGAGAGGAGUCCUGUAUAUACUGGAGUGGAGGGAGAAACUUAUGUAAAUGCCCAGGUGUUGCCUUGGACCAUGGUGUGAACAGCUUGUCCUCAGGAAAGACCCACCAUGAUCUAGGGCAAAAGCUGCUGCCUUAUGUCCCAGGCUUAGACACUGACUCCUUUCUCCUGAGUAAGGAGCCCCAAGUACUUGCCUUCCUAGGGAGGGCUGCAGCCUUCUUGCAGCGUGGGCUCCUGUGAUGCUGGUGUCCCUCCGGGUGUCUGGACUUCUGUCUCCUGUCCAGGUGCCCUGGGUGGCAGAAGUGGGCAGGCUUUCUGCACCUGCCUGAGCAGGAGACAUCUGCAACCGCGUAGAGGACACGGCUUUAGUCGCGUGUAUAGAGGCGCCUUAGUUAAGGUUACUACCGUUCUGGUGAAACACUAUGACCAAGGCAGCUUGGGGAGGUGUCGUAGUGAGGGUCCACCGCUGUGGACAGACACCAUGACCAAGGCAACUCUUUUUUUUAAAUUUUCUAUAAUAUAAUUUAUUGAUAAAAUAUAAAUUAUUAUUGUAAACAAUAAAGAUGGAAGUGACAUAAUAUAAAACAUUUAUUAAUGCUUUAGUUAUAAGGUAAAGUAAUUAAUAUUUAUGAAUCUGUAUUAUUUGAUUCAUAUAAGAUUUGAAAUGCUAUAUCUAUUUUUAUUCCUUAGGAUAGCAUGUGCUUCGAAAUGAUGUAAUAAGAACUUAAAUCACUUUAUCACUCAUCACAAAAUAUGUGUUAACAUUUUACUUUUUAAUUUUAUUUCAUAAUUCCAGAAGAUAAAAACAAAAAUAUUCUGAAAACAUUCCUGAUUACUGAGCCACAUUGGUAAAUAUGAUUCCAAAUCAAAGUGAGCAAGCUUAAUCAUUUAGGCUGUCAUUACAAAGAUAUACUGAAAUAUUUGAAGAUAGAAUGCAUUUGAGGAGGACAUGUCAAGUUGGUACUGAGAGAGAAGCAUAAUCAAUCAUUCUUGGGUAAAUUCCCUAUUAAUAAUGUGCUAUGCAUGCUAACAGGGGUGGGAAGUAAGCACCAGGCUUAUCUAACUAUGAAUUUUUGAGGUACCAUUAUGAAUCUAGAAAGUCAUGAACCCUUUGCAAUAGUGACACAAAUGUAAUGAGAAUAAUCAAGCACUUUCUGAUUGGAUUUCAGGUCUACUCUAAAAGAGGGUUAUAUCUACACGGAUAUGAGAACAUAGAAUCUACACCUAGACAGGUCAUAGAACCUAGGGGGAAAGCUACUAUCAUUAAUCUGCUAAGUGAUAAUAUUUGGAGGAGAUUGUUAAGGACUUAUCAUACAUUUACACUAAUGCUUCUUUUAAUUUUCAACCUGAAAGAGUUGCAUUUGGUUUUCCUUUCUAGAUGAUAGUGUGUCAAGUAAAGUAGAUUUAUGUCAACAUGGCAUGAGCUAGAGUUAUCUUUUUUUGAAAUUUUAUUUUAUUUUUCUUUAAUAUUUUAUGUAUUUACAUUUCAAAUGUUAUCCCCUUUGCCUCCUCUCCCAUACCUCCUCCUCUUUCCUCUUCUUCUAUGAGGAUACUCCCACUCCCAACCACUCACUCCCAACUCAAGGCCCUGGAAUUCCCAUACAUGGGGGAAAUGAGCCUUCACAGGAUCAAGAGAUUUUCCUCCUAUUGAUGGACAAUGCCAUCCUCUGCUACAUAUUCGGCUGGGGUCAAGGCUCCCUUCAUGUGUACUCAUCAGUUGGUGAUUUAGUCCUUGGGAGCUCUAGUGGACUCUGGGUUGUUGAUACUGUUGUUCAUCCUAUGGUGUUGCAAACCCCUUCAGCUCCUUCAGUCUGUUCUCUAACUCCUCCACUGGGGUCCCGACCAAGGCAACUCUUAUAAAGACAACAUUCAAUUGGGGCUGGCUCACAGGUUCAGAGGUUCAGCCCACUAUCAUCAAGGCGGGAACAUGGCAGUGUCCAGGCAGCCAUGGUGCCGGCUGAGAGUUCUACAUCUUCAUCUGAAGGCUGCUAGGAGAAGCCUGGCUUCCAGGCAGCUAGGAUGAGGGUCUCAAAGCCCACGCCCACUGUGACACACGUACUCCAUCAAGGCCACUCCCUGGGCUGAGCACACACAAACCAUCAAGGGAGAAAAGACUUUAUUUGACUCACACUACAGUAUCAUCAUCACAGGAAGUCAGGGCAAGAACCCGGAGGCAGGAGUGAAUGGAGAGGCCAUGGAGGGGUGCUGCUUACUGGCUUGCUCAGCUUGCCUUCUUAUAGAAUCCACAACCACCUGCCUAGGGAUGGCACCACCCACAGUGGGCGGGGCCCUCCCGCAUCAGUCGCUAAUUAAGAAAAUGCUCUGCAGGCUUGCUUACAGCCUGGUCUUACAGGAGCAUUUCUCAAUUGGGACUUCUUCCUUUCAGAUGACUCUAGCUUGUGUCAAGUUGACAUACAAUUAGCCUUACUUGAGGGCUUGCCCAGUACCUGCUCAGGCUUCAGGACUCUCAGUCUUAUCUACAGAUAAGGUCACCCCCUGCAUCUGUCAAAGAAACCUUGUUGGGGUGAGGCACUGGCCCUGGGGGGUGAUGGCUUGCCACACCUGUGUCAUCCUACUCCUGUGCCUGUAAAGCGCCAGUCCCCUCCACUCUGCCAGUGUAGAGGGAGGUGCCAGGGACACUGAAGAUGGCUGUGUGAAAGCCACAGGCCGCAGUCGCCAGCCACAUAGGCCUUUCAGGGAUGAUACCUGGCCUACUAGGGCUCCUACUCAGAGCACACUGCCAAGAAAAUGCCCUGCAUCAGGAGGGUUAGGGGCACUGUGCAGGCAGCAGGGACCUUUCCUUUAAAUUCUGUGGAUUCUGCCCUGCCCCUUGGUGGCCAACUUGAUGGUAAUACAACCAAAGAAGAAGAGGAGAUCUUUUUUAUUUUUUAAAGGUUUAUUUAUUUAUUAUAUAUAAGUACACUGUAGCUAUCUUCAAAUACACCAGAAGAGGGCAUCAGAUCUCAUUACAGAUGGUUGUGAGCCACCAUGUGGUUGCUGGGAAUUGAACUCAGGACCUCUGGAAGAGCAGUCGGGGCUCUUAACCGCUGAGCCGUCUCUCCAGCCCCAAGAAGAGAUCUCCUUACAGAUAAUCUUACAGAGCCCACGCGAGGCUUUUUGAGAGGCUUGGCAGCCAGGAGAGGGUUGGGGAACCCCUUCGGGGUUGGGGAGCCCCUUCGGGGUUGGGGAACAUGGAUGCUCUGUUGCUUGUGCACCAGCAGGAGGUCUACACUUCCCCAAGUCUGCUGCUCUGCACCAGCCAGGGCAGGGCACACAUUGCCCAGUGUCUUCAGAUCUGCCACCAUCCAUAGUCUGUGGGUGGGAUCUGGGGCUCGGGUGGUUUUGGGUUUCUGACUUUAGAGCUUGCUGAAUGCUUCCUAAGGGCACGUGGAGGGGAAGGGUCCGGUGCUCACCUGGUUUGCUGAUAGAGUAGUCUGAGAGAAGCUGGGACAGUCGCCUUGAGAAAGCCUGUGUCCUGCCCUUCAGGGGCAAGCACAGCCGAUAGAACACACUCCUCAGCCACUUGCAGAAGGGAUGCAGGAGGCUGGCCCAGCGCAGCAAAUGAAAAUCUCUUCCAAGUCCACAGUGAUCCUUCAAGGCUGUGCGGAGACAGAGAUCAGGACUAGGGGUGGCACCGAUCAGCAGGGGCUGUGAUCCAGAGCAGCCAGAGGAUGCAGCCUUCUCAGCUGUGUGGCCAGAAUGGAGAAGUUGUUUGUCUGUUCACAGGCAUCUCAGGCCCCAACGGAGAGCAAGGAGGCCUUGUGAUGACUAACACAGCCACCUUCUCGACCGUGCAUCGGCAAGAGACAAACCUCCAGGUGUGUCUGUGAGACAGUUUCUAGACUAGGUUAACUGCAAUGAGAAAGACUCGUCCUGACUCUGGGUGGCAUCGCCCCGUGGACAGAGGUCCUGGGCUGAGGAAAAGGAAACCGAGGCUGAGUACCAGCACCCACGUCUCUGCUUCCUGAUUGUGGAUGCAAUAACCCCACACUCCACACGCCGUGUCUGUCCAUGCACCAUGUCUGUGCUGGCACGAUGACCUAUACCCUCCGUCUGUGAGCUAAAACCAGUCUUUCCCUCCUUAGGUUGCACAUGUCAGGUAUUCGGUCCCAUCAAUAAAAAGACUAACACAGGGCACCUUCUGCAGGCUGGCAUGAUGGUUUAUAAGCACUGGUAUUCAAGAAGUCCUGGUGCCUUGUCAGCCUCACAGGGUCCCUAUUCUUGCCAUAGGGAAUAUGUCACCCUCACAGGGGACCUGGAGGUAGAGGUCAGUAAAGGUAUGCUGUGUAUGCUAUAGAGGUCUGGCCCGGUCGGUCUAUAAAUACCACCCCCUAAGGCCUCUACAGUGUGCCUAGUGGGUAUCAUGCCCACAGUCCUAACCAAGGUGCCCACCUGCAACAGUGUAGCCUCACACCUGGCCAUACCCUCCCAGGCUGCCAGGAAGUGAUGCCACCCCUAGUGAUGGUUAAGUAACCCUUCUUCAUAUUCCACUGCUGCUUCUUGAGGCUUGAAUCAGUCUGGGCUACCCUAAGAGGAGCAGGACUGAGGGACAUUCUUGUCCUGUGCCAUGACAUGUGUCAUGUCUCCCACAUGUCUUGGGACAGUGGCUUGUUCAUAGAGGGGGCUCACAAGGGUCUAUCUUGGGCUCCUCCUUAGGGCUGGUAGAGGGGAGGACAGUCUGCCAUCUAUGGCUAGGAGACAUCUAAUUCUCCGGUCCUGGGGUGUGCCCCACCUGGUCAUGAAUCUGACCAUAGGACGCAUCCUAUUUGGACAGGUGGCAGAUUGGGCCAUUUGUUGUCACAGCCCCAAAGAAUGGGGCUGUCUGAAGCAGAACUUCACCCUGAGGCAAGGUGCUCACCUCCCUUAGAGCCCAAGUCGGCAGUUUCCCAGCCACCACAGCUGGCAGCUGCUCCUUGGGCAGUAAGAAGUCCAGGGCACUGGGUAGCAGGGACAGCAUCACUCUGACAGCUCUCUCAGCUGACUCUCUGCUUUACUAGGUCAUGUGGGGGCCAUCAGUGAGGACUUCCAUAGGCCCAGGGGGCUCAGUUGAUCUCAGCAGGUAUGGCUAAGCCUUGCAGGUCCACAAGGACCUCUCCUGUCCAAAGUCCCUGAGAGACCAGUCUGCCAUGCAGCUACCUCUACCCAGGCUUGUCUGCAUCUCUAAGUCCCCAACUCUAUAUGGCUAUGUGGUUAGGGAUGUUCAUCAGUGCCUCUGUCUGGUCAACACUUUCCUAGAACAUGGUGCCUCUGCUUUUCCUCCUCUGACCCUUGCUCUGUAGACUGUAUGCCUGGCCUUCCUCCUCUUUAUCCUCUGUGAUCAUAUUGGGCUCUCUGGACGUGGGGAGACCAAGAAUGUUCAGGUAGCUCGUGGUUGGGACAGAUAGCAGGGAUCAGCACUAGAGCAGUAGUGACCUACUUCUGUGGAGCUGAGUCCUCUCAUUGGCUGCCCUAAGCCAGCGCCUUGUGUCCAGUGCAGGAACAGAAGUGGCUACGAAGCUAGCAGAGCCCCUCAGGUCUCUGGAAAAUCCGGACAAGGCCACAGUUGGGUAUCACGGGUUUCAUCAAGGGACAGAGACUGGACAAGUUGAAGCCAUAGGAUGACUUAAGUGUGGGGACCCCCAGGAGUUAGGACUCCUUGCCCUCAUGACCUCUGGUCUUCAUGUCCCUCGAGUAAAUCAUGCUGACCCCCAUGGAGCUGCCUGCCCAGAUGGCUUCAGUGCCCCUGCAUCCUGAGGUGUCUGUUUCCCCUUGGCCAUGGGUUCCCACGUGGACGACAAUAUGUGGGAACUCCUCCACAUUCUUCAGGAUAUCCGCUGCCCUUCCGGCCAGCUCAGCCUUGGCACCCGGGGGGGACUAGCCUUCCGGACCUCACCCAAGGGCUGUGCAUUCCUCUCUGGUGAAUCACUGUCCCUCCUCCCCAGUGGCUUACUGCCGCUCUGGCUGGAUGCCACCUUCUGCCAGGCGGGGGUGGAGGGCUAGCUUCGCGGGUCAGCCAUCCUCCUGUGUAUGCCACAUCAAGAUCUCAAGAAGCCUUCAUUCUCCCAGGAGGCUGUAGCUGGAGACCAAGGACAGCUUUGCACCCAUGAGACAACUCUGGGAUCUGGCCCCAGGGCCACCGCACACCUAAGAAUGGAUGGAAUCACAGCACAGAGACGUCCGUGCAGAGCGGUGCUCUUUGAAGAUGCAUGUGUGCCUACCUGUCCUGCCUCUCGUUUGUGCCCUUCAUGGUUUCACGCCAUCCCUCCCUGCGGCUACAGGGGCUUCGCUGCGCUGAACAGCGGGAAGUCUCUCUGUUCCAGCAUGCGCACCUCACCUGAUGCUUAUGGAAGGCACACAGCACACAAGUGCACAGGAACAAACAGGAAAAGACCUCCCCCAGGAUUGCUCUAGGCCUCAGAGGCAUUGGUUAGAGCCUCGCAGCCGUGCGGUCUGUACACAGCAGCCUAGACCUUGAUGCAUGCUCUUCUGCAGAAGCAAAAAGAAAGUUGUCGCCAGUGACAGCCUCAGAAGUGUGAGCUGCCGGAGUUGAGCUGCCCUUACCACAGGCCUGCGUCUUAUCCCAUGCCCUUGGUACAGUGGCCCACAUGCUCAUCUGGCCCAUCGUAGGCAGCUAACCUUAGAGGAAGGUCAGAAGAGCCCAGGUCAAGCCUGUACCAAGGGGGUGACGUGAGUGGAUGGCCAUGGGUUAGGUAAGAUGCAGCCUCCCAGGUUGGCAGCCCAGGCACCUCAUGUGGCUGUGGAUAGGUAUUGGCCUUUGGUGGUACUCAGUGUCUACCUGAGGCCGUAAGUGGUGGCAGGGCCCAGCUGCCAGUGGAGGUCACCACGUACUGAUUACAGACUAGCCCAGGCACCAAUCCAUGCACCGCCAUGAACCACUUGUAGCACACGUACCUGUAUGCCCUGCUGGGCAAUGACAUUGGGGCAUAGUGUGGAAAGAGAGGCAGGGGACUUUGGGAGACCCAAAACAGGGCCCUGUCCUCCUGUGGGCAAAGACAGGAGGGGUAGCAAAGGUAUGUGUCUCCUAAUUUCUGCUUUGGGCUGUACAAUCUCCCCAAGGUCUGGGCUCUCCUGGCUCAGUCCCACUGAUUCCAGGGACAGAGUCCUGCCCUGCCCUCCCGGAAGCCCACCCCAGCUUCGCCUUCAGUCAGGCCAUGUGUUAUGUGCUCAGCAGAGGCCCUUCCUUUAGAUCUCAAGCAGGUGACCCCGGGGGCAGCGGCCUUGCUAAGGACUUUUAUGUCUCUCUUCAGGGCAGGGUCUUCCUGACAUUGUGGCAUGACUUCUGCUUCCUGCCUUCUCCCGCUAAACUGGAAUUCCUCAGUAGAAAGCACUCGGCAGUGGGGUUUCUCUGUGUACCCUUGACCGUCCUGGAACUCGCUGUGUAGACCAGACUGACAUCAGACUCAGAGAUUCGUAUGCCUCCGCCUGUUAGUGCUGGGAUGGAAGGCGCACCACUACUACCCAACAAGGACGAAGCUCUUUUUAAAUAAUUCUUUUUUUUUUUAGCAAGUGCUCUUAACCACUCGAGCACUUUUUUUAAAAAGAAUUAUGUAUUUAUUUUAUGUAUAUGAGUACACUGUAGCUGUCUUCAGACACACCAGAAGAGGGCAUCAGAUCUCAUUACAGAUGGCUCUGAGUCACCAUGUGGUUGCUGGGAUUUGAACUCAGGACCUAUGGAAAGGAAGAAUCUUUUAGGUAUCUUGGAUAGGCUCUCCAGUUUGCCAUCACCUUCAGUUACUGAAGCCUCUCCUGGGAGCUCGGAGAGCACUGAGAACCCAUGGUGUGAACUAUUUACCGACUUAAGGAGACAAAUGCGCUUGACUCUCCCGACUCACCGAUUACCAGAGGCCAUGAACCAAAACUUUUAGUCAUUUGUGGAAAAAUAAGGAAAACGAUGGUUGCUCCUAGCAUCUCUAGAUAAAUUGACAACAGAAGAGAAUGAGCUCUGUGAUAAAAUGAACUGACUUCUAGCAUCGCAGAAUACAUAAAGGAUAACAAUGAACUCAGGAAUAAAACUGACCAGCUCCAGAUGCAUACAAACUAGAGGUUCUCAACCUGUGGGUCACGACCGCCUGUGGGAUGGUUACAUAUAUGACAUUUACAUUACAAUUCAUCACAAUAGCAAAGUUACAGAUAUGAAAUAAUUUUAUGGUUGGGGUCACUGCAACGUGAAGAACUAUAUUAAAGGGUCACAGCAUUAGAAGGGUUGAACCCCUGCCAUAAACAGUCUAAUGUUUCCAAGUGUGCCCCGGAAGAGAAUCUCCUCUCCAGCGGCCACAGAGCUCAAGUUGUGGAGAGUCAAACUGAAGCACUCAUUAUAAAGAUGGCUGAAUUACAGUGGAAAUUCAAGCUCCACCUUGGAGGUGUCGGUGGUCACAGUGAGGGACUGGUGGGUAAAGCAGGGACCUGGUGACUCUGGGUGGGGUGUUGGGGACCUAUUGAAGCUGAGAAUGGUGAACCCUCAGAUUCUCAAGGGUUUACCUCACCUGAGGAGGGAGUCUUUUCACCCUCAGUAGACGGUGCAUUCACAGCCCCACCCUCUGAACUGUUGCCCCUUUCACCUUUGACUGAGAGCAUCUGAGGAGCUUGGUCGCCCUUUUUUCCUGUGCCAGACUCUGGGGCUGGAGGGGCUGCUGCCCAGUUGAAUGAAUUAAUGCUGCAGGUUUUGUUGGGCCCAAGGUAGCAGGGGCCAGAUGGCAGCAAUGAACCGUGAAAGGUGAGCUGAUUGUAGAUGUCCUAAUGGGCAGCACAGACAAAACAAUGUCUGACCCUGAGUAAUGGCUGACCGUAAUGGCCAGGACAAGCAAAGUGAUCUCUGUGGUGGCAUCACUCGUGUCUGGUCCUUUGGUACUGGCUAAUCAGUCAUGGUGUUUCCAGGCGUGGGAUGGAUAAGAAGCCUACUGAAGUUUUGUUUGAUCUGUAUAAGUGAAAAAAUUAUAAAACAAGUGAAAGAAAGACCACGUUGAGUCAUGGCAAAAGUAAUUCUUGGCCCGUGAACCAAUUUCCAGAUUUGAGCCAUUUUGCCCAGGCCUUAGGAAGAACCUUGAUAAAGUAACUAGAAGUUUUAUUGUUAGCCUUUCUCCAGUCCUUGCCCAGAGAGACCUUUGUAUGGUCUUUGUCAGGUAACUGUACACUGUGGGGAAAUGGAACGAUCAGACUCUACAGAGUCUACUGGAUACUGGUGGUGAAAUGACACUGAUUCUGGGAGAUCCCAAGAAACACUGUGGCCCCCAGUUAAAGUAGGGGCUUAUGGAGGACAGGUGAUGAAUGGAGUUUUGGCUGAAGUCUGACUCACAGUAGGUCUAGUGAGUCCCUGAAUUCAUCCUGUGGUCAUUUCCCCUGGUCCCAGAAUGUGUAAAUGGGAUAGACUUAGAAGUUGGCAGAAUCCUCACAUUGGUUCCCUGGCCUGUGGAGUGAGGGCUGCUAUGGUUGGACAGGCUAGACGGAAGCCUUCGGUUGCGUCAUUUGGAGAAAAGAAUGAAUCAAAACCAGUAUCGCAUCUCUGGAAGAACUGGAGUAGUGCCACCAUCAAGGACUUGAAAGAUGCAGGGGGCGGGUGGUCCCACCACAUCUCCCUUUAACUCUCCUAUCUGGGCAGUGCAGAAGACAGAUGGAUCAUGGAGAAUGACAGUUGACUAUCAAAAAUUCAAUUAUGUAGUGUCUCUGACUGUAGCUGCUUUACCAGAUGUGGUGUGUGUACUUGAGCACAUUGUCACGUCUCCUGGUACCUGGUAUAUGCUAUUGAUCUAGCAAAUGCCUUCUUCUCAGUUCCGGUCCAUAAGACCCACCAGAAGCAACAGUUGGCAAGGCCAGUAGUAUUCCUUUACAGUUUUACCUCAAGGAUAUAUUAACUCCACAGCUCUGUGUCAUAGUUGUAAGGGAUUUUAAUAAUCUGUUUCUUCCAUAAAAUAUCACAUUGGUGCACUAUAUUGAUGACUUUAUGCUGAUUGGACCAAGUGAGCAGGAAGUUGCAACCACUUUGGACUUGUUGAUAAUACAUAUACAAAUCAAUGGGUGGGAAAUCAGCACAACCAAAAUCCGAGGGCCUUCUACCUAAGUGAGAUCUUAGGAGUCCAGUGGGGUGGGGCAUGCAGAAGAAUUUCUUCUAAAGAUAUAGAACCUGGCCCUCCCACCACCAAGAAAGGAUUACAUUUAGUGGGUCCAUUUGGACUCUGCCGACAACACAUCCCUCACUUGGGUAUGCUACUUCAGCCCAUACACCAAUGCCUCAGAAAGCCGCGAGUGUUGUGUGGGGCCUGGGCUCUUCAAUCGGUCCAGGCUGCUGUGUAGGCUGCUCUAGCACUUGGGGUGUACGAUCCAACAGAUGUGAUGGUACUUGAGGUGUGGGUGGUGGAUAGGUGAUGUGUUGGGAAUGUCAACAGUCCCCAAAUGGGAAUCACAGAAGAGACCUUUGAGAUUGAAGAGCGAGGCCCUACCGUCAUCUGCAGACAGCUAUUCUCCUGUUGAAAGACAGACUUGAGUCUGCUACUGGACUUCAGUCUGCCAUUGGACUUUAGUGGAAACUGAGCCUUUCACAACGGGCCACAUAGUUACCAUGUGACCUGACUGCCCAUCAUGAGCUGGGUUUAAUCUGACCCACCAAGCCACAAAGUAGGAAAUGGGUAGCAACAUCCAUUACCAAAUGGAAGUGGUAUUUCUAUUGAGCCUAGGCAGGUCCUGAAGACGCGAGCAAGUUACACGAUGAAGUCUACUCUGAAGUUACAUGAUGGCUUCUACUCUGUUCCAGUGUUGGCUGCUGCUGAAUGCAUUCCUACAGCCUCACGGGGUGAGGAAGAGAAACCAAGGCCUGGUGGCCCUGCAUGCUAUGCUGAACGUGCACAGAUGCAGCAUUGUAACCCCUUUCUGGGACAGCCCUGGGAGACACGGUGAAGAGCAACCUUCACAGUGGGCAGGACCUCGGGCAGCACACACGGUCACACAUUUUGUUUGGAAGUAGAAAUGCCCAGAUGUGUAAUUGUUCACUAAUGCAUAGGGAUGUAGUCAAUGGAUUGGCUGGAUGGUCAGGGACUUGGAAAGAGCAUAACUGGAAAAUUGUUGGGAAAAACAUCCGGGGAAGAAGUAUGUGACUAGAUCUCUCCAUAUGGGCAGAGAAUGUGAAGAUAUAUGCUCACCAAAAGGUGACGUCAGCUGAGGAGGAGGUCAGCAAUCAAGUAGAUAGGAUGACCCAUUCUGUGACAGUCAGCCUCUUUCCCCAGUCAUUCCUGUCCUAAACAGAGUAGCCAUGGUGGCACAGACGGGAGUUGUGCAUGGGCUGACAACAUGGACUUCCACUCACUAGGACCUACCUCACUACAGCUGCUGUGAGUGAGUGCCAGGUCUGCCAACAGCAGAGACCAGCACUGAGCCCCAGAUAGGCACUGUUUCCUAGGUGACCAGCAAGCCACCUGGUGACAAGUUGGCUGUAUUCCACUUCCUCUGUGCAAAUGACAAUGUUUGGUCCUUGUCCCGAUAGAAAGAUGGAACUAGCUUUGGAGGCAAUUAGGGGGCAGCAGACUGAAGCACCAGGGCAGGGUUUUGAAUCAGCAUAUGAUUCGAUAUAUUACCAUAUGGUUUCUCCCUAUCAAGGACCCAUGGGUCCAGGAUCACAGGGUGGAAAAGGGAAUAGUUCCACUCACCGUUACCCCUAGUGGCCAGCAGGAAAAGUUUUGCUUCUUGUUCCUGCAAUCUUAAAUUCUGGAACCUAGAAGUUUUGUUUGCAGAAUGGGGAGUGCUCUCAGGAGCCAUAACAUUGCAUUGAUCCGGAAGCUCAGACACCACCACCCGCCUCCGCCGCUUUGCCCUUCUUAUGCCCUUAAGCCAAGAGGUUAAGAAAGGAAUAACAGUGCUAGGAGAAGUGAUAGAUCCAGAUUAUCACGGGGAAAUUGGAUUGCUUCUCUGCAGUUGAGGUAAGAAAAUUUAUGUCUGGAAUGCAGGAGAUCCUUUGGGGCAGUGGUUUUUAAUCUGUGAGUCGUGAACUCUUUGGGGGUUAGAUGACCCUUUCACAGGGGUCACCUAGGACGAUCAGAAAACAGGUAUUUACAUUACAACUCAUAACACUAACAAAAGUAUAGUUAUGAAGUAGCAGUGGAACUAAUUUUAUGCUUGGGUCUUACCACGACAUGAGCUGUGUUAAAGGCCUUGUCAGUAGGAUGGUUGAGAAGCACUGCUUUGGGGCGUCUCUUAGUCCAAUCAUGUCCUGUGAUUAAAGUCAAUUGGAAAACUCCAAGAAACUAAUUGAGGCAGAAUGACCAAGGGCACAGACCUCACCAGGAAGGAAGAUACGGGUCACUCCUCCAGGAGAAGAACCAAGACCUGCUGAGUGGCUUACAGAGCGUGAAGGAGAUACAGAAUGUGCAGUUGAGGAAGGCAGCCAUAAAGAUGAGCUAAGGUCACGUGAAGGACCUGGCUGUCCUGGAACUCACUCUGUACCCCAGGCUGGUCCUGAACUCAGAGAUUCACCUGCCUCUGCCUCUUGAGUGCUGGGGUUAAAGGCGUGCACCACUAUGCUCAGCUUUCAGGUUUUUGUUUUUUUAACUUUUUAUUGGUUCUUUGUGAAUUUCACAUCAUGCACCCCGAUCCCAGUCAUCUCCCCCUCCCCUCACAUUUUUCUUUCACCCUUGCAAAAUCCCCUGCCACAAAGAAAAGAAUCUCAUCAUGGACGCUGUAGUGUGUCCCACAGCGUACCCUUUUGUCCACACUUCUUUGCUUGCAAAUGUUCACUACAACAGCUCGCUGGUCUGGUGAGGCCUUCUGCUACUCUAUCCAUAGUGGAAUCUCACUGGGACUCCCCUCGGUUAUUCCGUUGUUGUCCUGUGUCAUGGAGAGCUUGUAGCUGAGGAUCUGUGGGACUGACUCCUUCAUGAUGUUGAGGUGGGCCAAUUCGAAUUCCUGGACCUGAGAGGUAUCUGAGCUGCUUAGCACCCAGCUUUUUAAUUCUCACACCCUUGGGGCUGGCUCACCAGCAACUCCCCACCUCCCCAAAACAUUCCAAACCCCUCCCCACCACAACCAGGGCCAGCUCCACCCUGCCGCCCUGGCAAGAUGCAGGGCCCACUCUCACGAGUGCUGCGGCAGGUGGGGGGCAUGGCCAAUUCUCCCACCGCCAUAGGUGGCAAGGGACGAGGGAGGGCAUCUCUCCCUAGUCCUUGGCCCUGCAUAGCAGACAAGAGGCAGGGCCACUUCUCCUGUGCUCACCCUGCCCUCAGGCCAGCUCUGCUGCAACCCCUGUGUCCAAGUCUAGCUCCACUGUGCUGCCCAGGCGAGGUGCAGGGCCUGCUCUCCAGAUUGCUACGGAAGGUGAGAGACAGGGCCAGCACUUCUGCUUUCAUGAUCCUAGGGCCAGCUCUCCCUCCUGCCAUAGAUGGCAAGGAGCGAAUGGGGAGACGAUGUCUCCUUCAUCCACGCUGCCACACAACAGACAAGUUCACUCUCAGGUCCCUGAUGCCUACACCCCUGCCACCAGCAUCAGCUCCACUGUGCUGCCCAGGAGAGGUGCAGGGCCUCUCUCUCAGUGCUACACAAGCUUUGGAUUCUUUAUCUUCUAAUUAACAUCAAUUAAGAGAAUAUCAAUGAUAAUUGUUCUUAUGUUUGAGAUAGUAAAAGAAUGUCCCUCAGGAGACAUUGCCACCCAUUCUAAAUCUAUAAUGCAUUUGCAGUUACAUCAUGUUAGGCACAAUUAUGACCUGCAACCCCUGUGCACCUCCCCUGCAACAUUUCAUUCGGAAAUUAACCACGACAUAAGGAGAUAUGAUUGUGUAUCACGUUGGCAAAGGGUGCACUUGUGAUGGAUAGUCUAUUCUUGAUUGUUAGCAUGUCUCCAUCUGGAAUUAGCUAAAACCCCAAAAUGGAGGGACACACCUGUGAGGGAGUCUUGCUUACUUUGAAGUAGGCAGAUCCACUUCUAAUCCAGGUCUGGAGCAGUGAAGACCCACCUCUCACCUGGGCUAUAUAAAACACAUGGGACAAGGAAGCUUCACUCUUGCUGACUUGCCCUUGCCUUGCUAGCAAGGCCAGUCCUUCCCUGGCAUCAGUGCCUACUUCUCUGGGAUUCCGGUGCACAGCGAAGACCACUGAGACCUCCAGCCUCAUGGACUGAGCAACUGCUGGAUUCUUGGACCUUCCAUUCAGAGGCACCAUUGUUGGUUUAGCUGGACCACAGCCUGUCAGCCUGUAACUCAUUCUAAUGAAUAUAUAUAUAUGCAAGAAAGCAAGAGAAUGAGAGAGAGAGAGAGAGAGAGAGAGAGAGAGAGAGAGAGAGAGAAAGAGAGAGAGAGAUUCUAUAAGUUCUGUUCUCUAGAGAACCCUGAGUAAUUCACAUAGGGUUAGCCCUGUGAUUUCUGUUCUUUAGUUGUGUGCAGUCCUGUCUUGUUUUAGUUUGUAAUUUCCUAAUGUUUAUUUCUCCCUGCCUAUCAUCGGUGGUGGGGUGAUCGUCCCUUGUCCUACUUUAAGUCAGGUCUCUUGCUUGGGUUCUGAGACAUCUUGUAUAUUUUGAUCAAUGAUCCUGUAUUAGCUUCUGUCUUUGCAAACAUUUUAGAUUCGAAUUUCUCUUCUUAUUCUUUGCUGAUCUCUCUAAUGUGUUAGUUGACCUGUUUGCUCAUUUUUUAUUCAGUUUUAAUUUUUUUCUUAGAAGUUUGAGGUUAGGGUCUCAUGAGAGCACUGCACGAGCUGUAACCACUGAGCUAUACCUCUAGUUAUUUUGUUUAGUAUUUUGGCACCGAUAUUCAUGAAAUAAACUGAUCUUUUAAAAGUUUUGGUGGCUCAAUAAA